GAUGCCGUCUUGUACAGCGACGUCCAGUACGAUCAUGCCGCUCCUGUCUAGAAAAGAAACCAAAGGAGAGAUUUCUCUUUACGAACUUGAGCAGAAGUGGCCCCUUGGAUGCAGCAAACUUACCGAUGGCUACGGGAGGAAAUGUGUGACAGUCACCUGUAAGCAUGGACGAUGUCGAUGUCUUGCUUUCAUUGUGCUCCAUCGCAUACCACUCUAUGGAAAGGCCAUCCCCGUUUGAUGGGUGAAAAUACUCGAGUAAGUCACCCCCAGGGUAGUAGGCUCUCUUCCUGGUCGACUUCACUGUGAGGUUGAGAGGAAAACAAGCAGACACCAUCAGUCCCUUGCAGUGCAUUACUUGUGCUUUUGUCUCUCAGGCUCUGCCUGUAGGAAGAAGCCAACACCAAUCUGUGAGUUACCAUCACUGCUGCUUUACCGGAGGUGGUAAGUUAGGCCUGUAACACAGCCGGGUCUGUGAGUUGUUAAAUGUGCUGUGACCCUGCUCAGGGGAGGGAACGACCUAGAACUGCACAUAGGAUUAAAUAGCCAGGACCCCUGCUCACAGACUGAAUGUGGCCUCUGUAGCCAGCAAUUUAGCUAACUGUGUCCCGAUCAAGCAGCACUUGUUACCGUUUAAACUGAACCUGGGAUCAUGGGCAGAUGAAGAGUGAAAGCACUUUACAGCUGAUCAGCUGUAAAUUAAAAGCUCAGCAUCCAAUGCUGCCAGUCCCAGCUGUCAUGCAUACAUGGCUGCGAGCACAACUUGGGCUCAGCGCUUCCUAAGUGCAUGUUAACUGCUGCUGCUGUCACUGACUGGCGAAAGAUGGGGGAGAGCGAUGCCUCUCUGCUUGUUUGUGGUGCGAUGGGGUGUUGCUGUAAGUUCUGCUACUUGACUUUUAUUACUUCUGAAAUUUAGGCCUUGUCUAUGCUGGAAGGCAACCAGUGAUCUAAUGAACCAGACAUCACAAGGGACAAUGUUCGGAGCAAUUCAAUGACAAGAUUUUUAAACUACCGCUUAAAACUCUGGGAGGACCUGAUGCUUUUUUUACCACCUGCUUACGUCUCAUCUUACACACACAGAUCCUUUUCCCUAAGCAUCUAGGGAGCACUGGACACCACUGCUUCUCCAAUUAAAGUGCUCCCAAGCCGACACGGGGCUGCUGGGCAAUACCAUCAUCCAAACAUACAGGCCAUUUCCUUGAACUGCGACAAGACGGGAUCAUAAAUGUCAUAGUAGAUCUGCUCAGCACGGC